rnacentral:rRNA from 1 species
AAACUUAAAGGAAUUGGCGGGGGAGCACCACAACGGGUGGAGCCUGCGGUUUAAUCGGACUCAACGCCGGGAAUCUCACCGGAUAAGACAGCUGAAUGAUUGUCGGGCUGAAGACUCUACAUGACUAGCUGAGAGGAGGUGCAUGGCCGUCGUCAGUUCGUACUGUGAAGCAUCCUGUUUAGUCAGGCAACGAGCGAGACCCACGCGAGCAGUUGCCAGCUUGACCUUCGGGUUGAUGGGGACACUGCUCGGACCGCCUCUGCUAAAGGGGAGGAAGGAAUGGACAACGGUAGGUCAACAUGCCCCGAAUUAUCCGGGCUACAYGCGGGCUACGAUGGAUAGGACAAUGGGUUUCUACACCGAGAGGUGAUGACAAUCUCCUAAACCUAUCCGAAGUUCGGAUUGCGGGUUGUAACUCACCCGCAUGAAGCUGGAAUCCGUAGUAAUCGCGUUUCAACAUAGCGCGGUGAAUAUGUCCCUNCCCNNNGCACACACCGCCCGU